GAUGAACGCUGGCGGUAUGCUUAACACAUGCAAGUCGAACGGGGUGCAUAGUCACCUAGUGGCGGACGGGUGAGUAACGCGUGAGAAUCUGGCCUCAGGUCCGGGACAACCACGGGAAACGGUGGCUAAUACCGGAUGUGCCAUAUUGGUGAAAGAUUAAUUGCCUGAGGAUGAGCUCGCGUCUGAUUAGCUAGUUGGUGGGGUAAAGGCUUACCAAGGCGACGAUCAGUAACUGGUCUGAGAGGAUGACCAGUCACACUGGGACUGAGACACGGCCCAGACUCCUACGGGAGGCAGCAGUGGGGAAUUUUCCGCAAUGGGCGAAAGCCUGACGGAGCAAUACCGCGUGAGGGAGGAAGGCUCUUGGGUUGUAAACCUCUUUUCUCAGGGAAGAAGAAUGACGGUACCUGAGGAAUCAGCAUCGGCUAACUCCGUG
rnacentral:rRNA from 1 species